GCCCCCGCCCCCGCCGCGACCCCGUACCUCCAGCCUGCGCACGCUCCGGGGAAUAGGAGGAGACGCCGACGUUGGGAGGGGCGGCCUACCCAAGGCCUCGAGGGCGCAGCUUUACGGCAGGGAUGGGCCGGGGGGCGCAGUCGUUAUCGUGCGGCCCCGCGCGAGGACCGGAGCCGACUUUGUUUUUCCCGCCGGCGCGCGGCCUCCGCCAGGAGGACACAGUGUAAGGAAAGAAAGAGAAAGGAAAAACGAAGAGGCCGGUGCUGGUGUUCUGGGAGUGAUUUGAUUUCACGUUGCGUUCUCAGAUUGGACAUAAAUUUGGACUUCUUGCCUUCCCUCAUCUGUUUGAAGGGGAGGGAAGGUGCAAAGAGAGGGAGACACAGAAUUUGAAGCAGGCUCCAGGCUCUGAGAUGUCAGCACAGAGCCCGAUGCGGGGCUCAAACUCACGAGCGGUGAGAUCAUGACCUGAGCAGAGAGGCUUCAACAUCUGACUGGAGCACCAAACCAACAGGAGACCUCACACUAACCCUUUCUUGGAAAGUGAAGCAGAUGACAUCUUCAGAGACUCCUCUCACAAGACUCGGGAGCAGGCCAGUAUUAUGUUCACAAGAUUCAUCAUACCAAUCCUCAUGAGGCUUCUUUCUCUUCCAUUUCCACUUUUGAUUGGGAAAACAAUGCUAUAAUUCAAGUGUCACAAUCCCUUGUUGCUUCUGGAAACCUUUCUGACUGUUGGAUUUGUCACCACACUCCUACUAGGUCUUUUACUGAUAAUAAUACCCCGUAAUGUUAACCUAUAUACAGUUUAUACCUCCAAAUAUUUCCAUUAGUUACAGCAAAACACAUCCCUCCCAUCACUUUCAACGUAAGGAUGUUCUUGCCUUAAGAAAACCUUCCAUGUUGGGGCACCUGGGUGGUUCAGUCGGUUAAGCGUCUGACUUCCACUUAGUUUAUGAUCUUGUGGGUCAUGGGUUCAAGCCCUGCAUUGGGCUGUGUGCUGACAGCUCGGAGCCUGCUUCAGAUUCUGUUUCCCUCUCUCUGCCCCUCCCCUACUCACUCCCUGUCUCUCUCUCUCUCAAAAAAUAAUAAAAAUAGAAAAAAGAAAACCUUCCAUGUUUUAUGCUGACCACCUACCUCCUGGGUCAAUGGGUUAGCAAAAAAUGGAAACCCACCCCUUCCCUUUAUAUGAUUUCCUCUUUACAAAGUGUGUAUCUUCCACCUGUUCUAAUAGAAAUCUUUUCAACUGUCCCAUCUCCAUUAUGCCAAGACUUUUGGAUAUUCCUACUUGAAUGUACCAGCCCAUUCUGCACCAGACCUUCUGAUACAAUCUUUCAACAACUCAGUGGUGCUCUUUUAUGAGAAAUCUGUUCAUUUAACCAAACCACUAUCCCUAGCUAGAUGCUAUCCCCCUUCUCCUUUACAAAAAUAAGACCUGUGCAUUCUGUGCACCUCCAGUUGUUUGGACAGCUGGAGAAUUACUGGCCAAGGCUUUUCAGGUCACCUUAUUUCCCCCCCUCACAGUUCUCAGAUCACAACUGAUCUCCUAUCACAAGGGACUUCUCCAUAAUAGAGUAUCUGAUGAAGAUCCUUCUGAUUAUGAAGAUAAUAGCUGUGGACGUACCCAGGCAUGUGAUCCCCUGCAGGCUUUUCUGUCAGUUACCAGUGACCAUCUCCUUUGAGGUUUCUUUUCCUGGCUGGGGGUUGUAACGCCAAACAUGACAUCACGUUGUAGAAUAGGUCUACAAAUUGUAUUAUUGUUUUUCAUUUGUACCCUACUUAUUAUCUUCAAAUUAUGUUAUGCAUUUCCCAUUGCUGUUGUAUUCAAAAUGUCAAAAUAAUGGUUGCUCAAAGACUUGAA